rnacentral:rRNA from 1 species
GAUUAAGUGUCGUAAGGGCAUUUGGUGGAUGCCUUGGCAUGCACAGGCGAUGAAGGACGUGAUACGCUGCGAAAAGCCGUGGGGAGC